CCUGAAUUCGAAAGGGGUCGGAUUCAACCAUUACCGGUCUGUCCAGGCCGUCCCCACCAGAUGGCGUCGGUCGCCCGCAGCGAUUCACUUCGCUCGCGGUGUCGUUCCCGGCGAUCACUCGGUGACGCGGGCGUGUCUCUGGCGCCGGGGGUGUGCACUUCCCCCCUAGUAGAAACGUCGCGACCCGUUGGGUGCCGGUCUAAGGCCCGGGAAGGCAGCCCGCGUGGUCCCUCCAGGAAUGGCGGGCCCGCGGACUCCCGGUGUCCCGGCCGGCUGCUCGACGGCAUGACCAGAGGAGCUGAUCCGCUGCGUGUGAAGCAGUUUGGUUGUGAAGCGUCCGGCCCGGCGCCGACGCGUGCGGGGUGAACGGUGUCAAAGUCGGGGGUUCCCGUGCGUCGUCACGGUCCCCACCCCGCCGCGCCGUCGGUCGUCCGGUGUCCUCGGACCGGAUCGCUGCUCCCGUCUGCGACGCCCAUCUUCGGAUGGUCUCCCG
rnacentral:rRNA from 1 species